GAUGAAAAUGAUGUUUCAAAGAGAAAUCAAAUACACUGGGGGAAGGGGGUGGAUCCAGUGGUGCGCCGGGAAUGAACUGACCCAAGUGAGCUGGGACAUGUGCAUACAGAGAGCAGAGGCAGAAGUCAAGGAACUGGAGGCUGAGGAACCCAGCGGACCACGAAAGCAGGGAGAUAACUAGACAGCAUGCUCGGCUGGAAGGACCAAAGUCAGAGAAGGAAAAAUGAAUAAGAAAAUGAGCAGUCAGAGGCAGCUAGGGUGACGGACAGACAGCAUGAAGCGCAGCAGAAUGAAGAGCCAGAAGACUCGGACAGGCAGAGCCGAAGGACCGCAGAGCUCAGCGCCGGAGGCUUUCUGCAGCUCCAAGCCUCCAGGACACACAAAGAGGGAACAGUUUGGACUUCAUAACUGCACAGCCUUAAACAGCCUGCAGGAGGCAGCAUGUGGACUUCAGCUGAGUGGGUAUUUAAGAAACCCAACAGAAGGAGUUAGGAAGGAUAAGAGGUUUAAAGAAGGGAGGAAUAAGGAGAGAAUCUGCUGCAGCACCGCAUCUGAGCCUCCUCACAUGCAGCUCCCCUCAAGCAGCACGAUACCCAGCCCUUCUCCAGCAGAGAUUAGACAUGAAAACUGAGGCCCAGACCAGCUAAGCAUUUUGAUCACGGUCACCCAGAGCCACAGUGGAGACCAGGAGAAAACUGAUUCCCAGGCCAGUGCUCUUUUGCUUCUACUCGGUCAGAGGUGUGAGGUCCUUCGAGACAGUGGUCAGCUGCAGGCUCCUGGACAGAUCCGCACCUUCAUAGCUGUGUGAAGGAGAUUUCCCACAUUGGCAUAGCAGCCACUGGGGAGCUGGUUUCCUGCCAUCCACUUGAGAGCAUCCUGGAUGUUCUUGGGAUCAAUGAAGAUGAAUUUCUGAGCUUGGCCAAAGCAUUUUGUGACAAACGCUGUCAGCCUACAUGGGUAAAGAGGAAAAUAUGGCAUGAAGAGGAAUUUCCAGGAAACCCACUGCCCGAGACCUUAUCUCCUCCGUCAGCAGCCCUGCCUUCUCCAGGUACUGCAAGACAUAGAUGAUGGGAGCAAACAAGACCAUGUUCUGCUCGCCACAGCCACUGGGCAUCUGCACCAGACCGUCCAGGUUCUGCAGGGCUGUGCCCAUAAUGUCUCCUGGGAUCCAAAAGGAGAGAGAGAAGGUGGGGGUACAGAGAAGAAGGGACCCUCUAAGAGUUAUCAUCAUUCACUGAACAAACAUGUAUUAGCUAUCAUGUAAUAAGUACCUACUAUGGGCCGGGCGUGGUGGCUCACGCCUGUAAUUCCAGCAGUUUGGGAGGCCAAGGAGGGUGGAUCACCUGAGGUCAGGAGUUCGAGACCAGCCUGACCAACAUGGACAAACCCUGUCUCUACUAAAAAUACAACAACAAAAAAAGUACCUACUGUGUGUCCUGGGAAGACCACAGUAAAUCAAACUCAGUCUCUACCCUCAAAAAAACUCACAGAGGAGCAAACCAUUACAACACAUUACAAUUUUUAUUCAUUAAAAACAAUUUUAAUACAGUACUACAAUAUCAUACGGGAUAUGUACGAGAUGCUAGGGGACACAGAGAGGCACAUAAGCUAUCUAAGAGAGUUCAGGGCUUUUAAGAAGACAUGUCACUGAGCUGAUGAGUGAUGUGACAAAACUUAGAACACUUAGGAUCAAUAUCUAAGUUCCUCUACCACUGCAUGUACGUUCCUCGCCCUCCAAAUCACCAAGUUUCUCUAAAACACAGUUCUGACACUCUUUUCCAAGUUGUCACUGACCCCUUCAUAUACUUCCCAAGCCAGCGAACCUGACAUAAGUGACUCAUUAACAUCUGCAUUGUAGCCAACAAGCUCAAUUCAAUCUAUAAAUGUGUCCUGAAUGUCAACUAUGUUGCAGGAACUGUACUAGGAACACAAAAGAAAAAGAUGUGGCCCUUCCUCUUCAGGAGCCCCCAACCAGUGUGGAAGACAGAUAUAGACAGUGAACUCUAAUACAAUAAGAUAAGCGCUAUGUCAGACUUAUACG